UCCGGUUUGGCACCGGCAGUCUCCCUAGAGUUCCCGGCAUUACCCGCUGGCAACUAAGGACAGGGGUUGCGCUCGUUGCGCCACUUAAGGCAACACCUCACGGCACGAGCUGACGACAGCCAUGCACCACCUGUGCGGGCUCCGAGGAGCGCCGUAUCUCUACGGUUUCACCCCGCAUGUCAAGCCCAGGUAAGGUGGGGAUGACGUUUCCAGGUUAGG
rnacentral:misc_RNA from 1 species